UACGGGGGGGGCAAGCGUUGUUCGGAAUUACUGGGCGUAAAGGGCUCGUAGGCGGCCAACUAAGUCGGAUGUGAAAUCCCCAGGCUUAACCUGGGAACUGCAUCCGAUACUGGAUGGCUUGAAUCCGGGAGAGGGAUGCGGAAUUCCAGGUGUAGCGGUGAAAUGCGCAGAUAUCAGGAGGAACACCGGUGGCGAAGGCGGGUCUCUGGGCCGUAACUGACGCUGAGGAGCGAAAGCAUGGGGAGCGAACAGG
rnacentral:rRNA from 1 species